UACGUAGGGUGCGAGCGUUGUCCGGAAUUAUUGGGCGUAAAGGGCUCGUAGGCGGCUUUGCAAGUCGGGUGUGAAAUCCCCAGGCUUAACCUGGGAACUGCAUUCGAGACUGCAUUGCUAGAGUAUGGGAGAGGGAAGUGGAAUUUCCGGUGUAGCGGUGAAAUGCGUAGAUAUCGGAAGGAACAUCAGUGGCGAAAGCGACUUCCUGGACCAAUACUGACGCUCAUGUGCGAAAGCGUGGGGAGCAAACAGG
rnacentral:rRNA from 1 species